UCCCUGGUAGUCCAGUGGUUAAGACUCUGCGCUCCCAAUGCAGGGGGCCCGGGUUCAAUCCCUGGCCAGGGAA